GAACAAACAAUAAAUGUAAAUAAUAAAAAUACACGAAAGAAACAAACAAAUCAAAGCGGCAGCCCCACGGAAAACCACACUGUGUACAUCAGGAAAAUGUGGGAGCGGAAAGCAGAAAGACAUAGAAGGAUGUAAGGGUGAAGAGAGCCAAUCAGAGGGCCGGGAUAGUCCCACUGGGAUGUACGGGUGACGGUCUCGACCCUUCGAGACCGUCUCGCGGAGACCAAGUUGGUAAUGUCAAUGUCAUAUACGUAUCUGUAUACGGACCUCCAAAUUACCCGGAAGAAUCGCUAACUACUCAGUUGGUUUCUCACGUGAAUCAAAGGAAGAUGGUCGCCAUGGUGGUUGUCUGACAGACUCAGCUAAAGGCGAAGCUUGUUAAGAAACAGCUUACUACGUUAUGAGAACCCCGAUUUCAUGGUGACCGGUGCCGAGCUCUAUCGGGAACUUCAUGAAACGGAGUGACUCACACUAGGAGCCUAGUGUGAGAAUUUCUGGGCAUAUAAUAGUUAGCAACUUAUCAUUUGGUUAAACACCUGCGAGCAAGGAUCAGCUUCGCUAGUGAGAGACAACAGCAAAGACAACAGCAAGCGCAUAUUCAAGUUGUAGCACACAAUUUGUAUGGCUAUGAUUCUUCCCGAACACCCAUGCAGUAUGGAAUGUUUUACAGGAAAAUGGGGAUGAAUGCAAAAGAUGCCAAUUGUGAAACACAGACUUGACCAAAUGUGUAGGCUGUUUUUGUAUGUCAAUUUAAAAAACGAAAGGGAAAGAAUACUUGAAAAAAAAAAAAUGUGGAGUAGGAUCAACGAUGAAUUUCAUUUAGUUCGGAAUUUAAAGGUGCUAGUCGGGCUUUCUCCAUCCAGGCUAUCUGAAAACUGCCGCGUAGCUUCUCAUUACACGAUGAACCGAGGAUUCUCCAUUGGCAUUGGAGAUGUUACACCUGGUCAAACACUACUGAAAGAAAAGCAGAUACCUUUGGACAAUGGUUACGCCAUGUUCAAAAGCGGGUCCCAAGGAUCUUACAUUAAUAUAUCCCAAAUGAUUGCCUGCGUCGGCCAGCAAGGAUUGAGAAGAAGGUCUGCGAAGUUUCUGAAGAGAAAUGCCUCAAAUAAUUGUACUUGUCAAACAUAAGAACGGCUGUUGGAGCCCUUUGCACGCAGAUCAUUGGUGAACUGGGCGUUCCAAUGACACUAAAGACUUUUCACUUCGCUGUUUUGGUAUCGUUGAACAUCAUAAAGGGAGUUCCUAGUUUAGGAAAUCAUUAAAGCUUCAUAGGAAAUCAGUACACAUGUUUUCUUCACCCAGCUCCUAAUCGAUGACGACCCGGAAUUUGCACUACCAGUGAAAUGCAGUACCUCAAGGAAUAGUUGCCUUGGGUCGUCAUAAAGAUACCGUACUUUUUCUGAAACAAAAAACCCCUUUCAACUAGCAUCCAUCUUGAUUGUUUGCGAACUGUUAGCCGAGCUGCCAUAGAAACCGAUUAUACAAGGAAACUGCCCAGAUAUUAUUUGCUUGUAGAGGGUUACAAUAUGCUCGAAGUGAUGGCGACAUAACGCGUUCAAGGGAUGUCAACUGCCUCUGACAAUAUUCGGAAUGUUUUUAGCACCUUGGAAAUCGAAGCUGUCAAGACGACGAUUGUCAUGGAAAUUCGUUAUACAAUGGAAAGUCGUGGCAUGUGUGCGAUCGGCCGUCGCCUUGUUAUCCGAUCUGAUGAGUUGUCGUGGUAAAAUCUUUGAGAUCACCGAAAACGGGUUGAAUAAAAUGAAGAAAUCCGUUUUGAUGCUGAAUUAGUGUGCUCUUCCAGAAGCACCUGCCAUAAUUUUACAGGAAUACGCCAAAUAAGGAAUUUAUCAACAUAUAAAUAAUACUAGUGGAUCUGAAAAGUGUUCUUGUUGGGACAAAAUACCGAAAAAAUUUAAAAUGGAAUUGGAAGCACGAAAUCAAAUUUCUAUUCUUAAGUCGUAUUCCCAUGUAUUACGGUAUUAAUUAUUUAAAAAAUUAAAGUGCAUAUCUAGGC
rnacentral:sRNA from 1 species